rnacentral:tRNA from 1 species
GGGGGUAUAGCUCAGCGGUAGAGGGCAUGUCAGCAGGCACGAGGUCCUGGGUUCAAUCCCAGUACCACCA